CCCUGCCGCGCCGGGCUGCCCGCGACCCCCCCCGCCCGCCUUCCUCCGGCCCCCACAGUGGCUGGGGGCGUCUGAGCCGGCUCUUUGGCCCUCCGGGGAGCUGCGAGAAAAAGGCAUUGGACUUCAACCGUGUCGGGUUACUGCACACGUGGCAGUAAAGCUUCCAAGGACAACGCAUUCCACCCACCUACACCUUGUUUGAGUGCAUACACACUUAUGCUUGUGUUCAACUAAGGCAGCAUUUCUCUUUGUGACUUGUCUACAAAAAGAUGAAGCUGAACCAGCUACUGGAAUGUAUAUGCACUGGGCCUGCCAAAAGAAAUAUAUUCCCAC